rnacentral:rRNA from 1 species
AGAAUUUGAUCUUGGUUCAGAUUGAAUGCUGACGGCGUGGAUGAGGCAUGCAAGUCGAACGGAGUUUUCAAAGCUUGCUUUGAAAACUGAGUGGCGAAAGGGUUAGUAAUACAUGGGUAAUCUACCCUUUACUCUGGAAUAACAGUUGGAAACGACUGCUAAUACCGGAUGAGGUACCGAGUGGCAUCACUUGGCUAUCAAAGUAGGGGACCUUCGGGCCUUACGGUAAAGGAAGAGCCCAUGCGAUAUCAGCUUGUUGGUGUGGUAACGGCGCACCAAGGCUAAGACGUCUAGGCGAGUUGAGAGAUUGACCGCCAACACUGGGACUGAGACACUGCCCAGACUCCUACGGGAGGCUGCAGUCGAGAAUCAUUCGCAAUGGGCGAAAGCCUGACGAUGCGACGCCGUGUGUGUGAUGAAGGCCUUAGGGUUGUAAAGCACUUUCGCUAGGGAGCAAGAGAAGUGGUCUAAUAGGCCGCUGAUUUGAGAGUACCUGGUAAAGAAGCACCGGCUAACUCCGUGCCAGCAGCUGCGGUAAUACGGAGGGUGCAAGCAUUAAUCGGAUUCAUUGGGCGUAAAGGGCGCGUAGGCGGAAAAGUAAGUCAGACGUGAAAGCCCGGAGCUUAACUCCGGAAUAGCAUCUGAAACUACUUUUCUUGAGGAUAGGCGGAGAAAACGGAAUUCCACGUGUAGCGGUGAAAUGCGUAGAUAUGUGGAAGAACACCGGUGGCGAAGGCGGUUUUCUAGCUUAUUCCUGACGCUGAGGCGCGAAAGCUGGGGGAGCGAACAGGAUUAGAUACCCUGGUAGUCCCAGCCGUAAACGAUGCAUACUUGAUGUCGACGGAAUCAACCCCGUCGGUGUCGUAGCUAACGCGAUAAGUAUGCCGCCUGGGGAGUACACUCGCAAGGGUGAAACUCAAAAGAAUUGACGGGGGCCCGCACAAGCAGUGGAGCAUGUGGUUUAAUUCG